rnacentral:rRNA from 1 species
UACGAAGGGGGCUAGCGUUGCUCGGAAUUACUGGGCGUAAAGCGCACGUAGGCGGAUUGUUAAGUCGGGGGUGAAAUCCUGGAGCUCAACUCCAGAACUGCCUUCGAAACUGGCGAUCUUGAGUCCGGGAGAGGUGAGUGGAACUGCGAGUGUAGAGGUGAAAAUUCGUAGAUAUUCGCAAGAACACCAGUGGCGAAGGCGGCUCACUGGCCCGAUACUGACGCUGAGGCACGAAAGCGUGGGAGCAACAGGG